AAUACUAGCAUUUCAUAAACUACUGCUUAUUGUUACACACAAGUUGGAACAAGCAAUCCUCAGAUUUAACUUCCCACAUGUUAUGGAAGUUCUCUUUUCUCCUGAUCUGAAGUGAGUAAGGGCUUUAAAUGAUAUUUUAUGGGCGUAAUCAUUAAAGUCCAUUUACCAAUUAUAAAUGGCAAUGACUGAAAGUUCUCUUGAUCAAAUUAAAUUAUUUUUCCAUUUUGUUCUUCUGAGACCAACUGUGAGAAGUCUCCUGAUUUCUAGUAGUUUGACAAAUGGAAUAGCUAUCAAUGACAAGAGAAAGAUGUAAAAAAAAUAAUGAUAAUCGUUAGUUUAAAAAACAUUUCUUUCAAGCUGAAAUCUAACUUUAGCAAACUACCUAAACUACACAUUUUCAAUAUAUUUUUAUCCUGUUAAGUAGGAUGUAAUGUUACAAGUUAAUUAACAUUAACUUGUUACAUUCUACUCAGACUUGUUUCUUGCUUUGUGUCCAACCCAGGAUGAGAUAAAGCGGUUUUGAUAAUGGAUAAGUUAAUAUGUUGAAUUCCAAUGUAAAAUUUUUGUCAUGCUAUAACCUUUCAACAUAAUCAAAAACGACAGGUCAUUAUUUAUGUAGUAAUUUUAUAUAGCAAAGAUAAGUCCAGUUCCAUUCUCUUCAAUUAUUCUUCUCAACCACUUGUCUAGAUCUUGGUUCAGUUGAGCCUGGAUUACUGCAACUCCCUGAGGUCAAGGCCCUCUAUAACCGCUACCCAAUGAGUCCAAGUCAUUCAGAAUGUUACCAUUGCCUGUUGUGCUCUGCUGUUUUCUACAUUCAUAUUACUUCACUGUUUUACACUCACCACCAGCAAGAACCAGGCUAAAAAUUCACUCUACUCUACAGUUCCUUAUAUGGCUGAGUGCUGCACUUAACUUUCUAUAUGUCUCUCUUUGACGCCACAAUUCUGACUCAGAUAGCCUUUUCUGUAAUAUUCCCUACAAACUGAAAAAGGACUACUUGUUCGCAUGUUCCACAAGCUGUUCCCAAUCUAUGACAUUCAAGCAUCCCUUUACAACCCUCCUCUAUAGGCGGCACUUUGGGGUUGCUUAAGCUUUGUAUCGUUCAGCUGUACUGUGGGUUUCUAAUAACUUUUUUCUACUCUGUCUGCCCUAUAACUAUCAAGUUAUUGCUUACAGUUUACUCCUUUGCAAUUAUUUGCUACCCACAAUAUAAUGCUUUCCAUACUCUAUUAAAGAAGGUUUACUCAACUGACUAUUCAUUUUGCAUUGCCAUUCCAAGUGCUCUACCUUAUUUUUUAUAUUUGCUUAUUUUUAUGCCACCUUAUAGUAUAUGGGGCUAAACUGCAGGAACAUCCAUUCAACAGCUGCUGUGCCCACACAUGAUUUUAUAAGCUGUUGGGAACAGCCAUUUAGUAGGUAAUAUGUAAUAGCGUCUGGCAGAACACCUCACAGUGUUUAUUAUAACACUAUACAUAAUGGAAAAAGGUACAGAACAAUGUUAAUUAAACUCUGGAUGAAUGAAGGCAAAUCCCGUUUUUCUUUUGUAGCUGCAAACAAGGGAUUAGAGGUCACAUUGGAAAACAAAAGAAGGGCAGACUUAGAAGAGAAAGUAGGAAGCAUUUCUUUAUACAAAAGGUCACUAAUCUAUUCAAGGUCUACCGGAUCAUGUUGUUAAUACCAAAACACUGCUUUCUUCUAAAAGAAUGAGCCUGUAAGAGUUGCAGCUACAAGAUCAGGCUGGUGACAUUUUAUUGGAAAAAACCUGAGACCUCAUAUCGAAGAAGCAGUGAGACUGUAGUGUUUAAAUAUGAGACCAAGACAUGCAGGUUCUGAUUGCACUUGUAGUUCAUUUUGAGCACAUCUCUUAAAUUUAUUGAACUUCUGCAAAGAAUUUUGAUAUCAGGGUUGUCAAGUCUUCCUGAUUUCAAGAAUGAAACCUUUAAGAUUUACCAAGACUGAAUGAAUGCCUCAGAAUAUAUUUCUACUUGGAGAUGAAAUUUUUAAUAUGAAGAUGAUUUACAUUCACAAACCACUAAGAAGAUAAUAUGUACUGUAUAUACUGCACAGAAUCCCCUUACAAUUUCAAGCCUUUGAUGGAAGACGUGGGACGUGUCCAGUUUCUGUGAAUGCGCUAAGUUCAGUUAGCUGAAGCAGUAUUAAACUAUUAUACAGAAGGGAGUUUGUCUUUUAUUAGUGUGAAGGACAGAGUCUCACUUGGGACACAGGUCCCUUUGCAACCAGCCGUUAAUGCUCGGUAAUAAAAGGGCAUUAGGGUUCCCAUGAGGAAUGUUAGUUUUAGCCUUCUUUGCUGCUCUUUAUAUUCCGAGAAGGAACAGCUGAUAGAAUUAAUAAAGCUAAGGUUUUUAUAUGGUUGACUCAAGUAACAGCACUAAGAAGCCAAGCAUUGCUUCUAAGCUAUAUUAAGUAAAUAGUGUAACUAUUCUACAACUUUUUAAAUGAGGUGUAGAGAAAAAUAUUACAUAGUAAUCAACUAGGAUUUUAUUUUAAUUAGUUUGUGAAUCUAAAUUGAGUUCCAGAUCUUUUGUGGUGGCUGAUUUUCCUUUAUCUCUUUGCUAAAAUUAAACAUUAUUCAUAAAAUUUACAAUAUGUGUAAAGUGGUUAUCAUGCAGUACUUGCGAAACAGGAGAAAAAUAUUAUUUAAUAUCACUUAUGCAUCAUAUUGCAACAUCAUAAUCUGUCUAUCUAAUAUAGUACCUUUCCCAGUUCCUUUAAGCAAGCACUAAGACAAAAUAAUGCAUCUGUUACAAACUACCUGCAAUAUAUCAACAUUUGUUAUAAAAAUGAAUUGUACUGUAAAGCAUUUUUGUGAUAAUAAAAAAAUAAAAAUUUACUAGAAAGUACUUUUAAGUUUGGGUCUUAAAAACUGAAGAACAAAAAUUAAUCUGUCUUCUCCAUUUUGUUGUGUGUUAUUUUGAAUUAUACUCACAGUCAAAAGUCAUUUCCAAACUUAUUUUCUAUUUAUUCUAUGUUUUCAGGAACCGUUUUAAUUUGUUCCCAAGGCCAUAUGCUGAUUUGCCUGAGUCACUAUGUGCAAUGUUAUUACAACAAAGCUUUCCAGAGCUGUAAAGAACAAUAUUCUUUUUCUUAUUAUGUUACAUUUAUUCGAUGCAUUGUUCUCAUUUAAAUUUGAUGUUGUUUUUGGC